AACGCGAAAGGGGCUUCGGCUCUGAGUAGAGUGGCGAACGGGUGAGUAACACGUGGGUGACCUACCUUCGAAUGGGGGAUAACGUCCCGAAAGGGACGCUAAUACCGCAUAACAUCCUGUCUUUGAAGAGAUGGAGAUCAAAGCUGGGGAUCGCAAGACCUGGCGUUUGAAGAGGGGCCCGCGUCCGAUUAGCUAGUUGGUGAGGUAACGGCUCACCAAGGCAACGAUCGGUAGCCGGCCUGAGAGGGCGGACGGCCACACUGGGACUGAGACACGGCCCAGACUCCUACGGGAGGCAGCAGUGGGGAAUUGUUCGCAAUGGGCGCAAGCCUGACGACGCAACGCCGCGUGGAGGAUGAAGGUCUUCGGAUUGUAAACUCCUGUUGCCCGGGACGAAACGCUUCGAUCUAACACGUCGGAGCUUGACGGUACCGGGUGAGGAAGCCCCGGCUAACUCUGUGCCAGCAGCCGCGGUAAUACAGAGGGGGCAAGCGUUGUUCGGAAUUACUGGGCGUAAAGGGCGCGUAGGCGGCCUUCUAAGUCGAACGUGAAAUCCCCGGGCUCAACCCGGGAACUGCGUCCGAUACUGGAAGGCUUGAAUCCGGGAGAGGGAUGCGGAAUUCCAGGUGUAGCGGUGAAAUGCGUAGAUAUCUGGAGGAACACCGGUGGCGAAGGCGGCAUCCUGGACCGGUAUUGACGC
rnacentral:rRNA from 1 species